rnacentral:misc_RNA from 1 species
GAAAUGCGAUAAGUAGUGUGAAUUGCAGAAUUCAGUGAAUCAUCGAAUCUUUGAACGCACAUUGCGCCCCUUGGUAUUCCAUGGGGCAUGCCUGUUCGAGCGUCAUCUACACCCUCAAGCUCUGCUUGGUGUUGGGCGUCUGUCCCGCCCCCGCGCGUGGACUCGCCGCAAAUCCAUUGGCAGCGUUCCUUGCCCCCUCUCGCGCAGCACAUUGCGCUUCUCGAGGGCGGCUCCGGGACGCGAUCCAGCAAGAUGACCACCGUCUUUGACCUCGGAUCAGGUAGGGAUACCCGCUGAACUUAAGC